rnacentral:sRNA from 1 species
AAUUCUUUAGUUUUGUACAAAUAUUAAGUUAAAAUUCUUUACAUAUAAAUUGAAGUUUCUUAAAUUUUGUUUAGUUUAGUCUUUUAUAAAACUAUAUUUUUUUUGGGACCAAAAUUAUCUUUCUAGACAUCUAGUGAAAGGCUUAUAGUGAUUCAGACUUUCGUAGUUCGCAUUCUACUACUAGAAUUUGCUCUUCAUCUCCAGCAGCAAAUCCGGGAAGAACAAUCAAAAUCGUCAUCGCUUCAUCUAACUCCUAUAUCUUCAACGUUUUGGUUGAAUGGAACUGAAUUCUAGUUAUGCAUUAUGCUUCCAUGUUUGAGGUUUUUUUUCAUGGAAUCAUAUAUUUAAGUAUAUAAUCAUCGAUAAAUCACCUAAACCGUUUUUAUUUUAUGAAAUAUU